AGUAAAGUAUAAAGUGUUCCUUCAUAAACGUAUAUGGUCAUAUUCAACUCUUCCCCUGUAGUAGAUUUUUAUUUCAUAUGGAACAGAAUAAAUGAGUCUCCUGAAAGCUGGUGGAUUUACAGCUUGAAUUUACUAUUCUUCUAGCAUGGUGUUAACUUCACUAAUAAAAAUGUUGUGUCUGCUUUGCAGAAAUUUGCCACUGAAACAAAUCAUGCAUAUCCAGGCAUAGAAGAGGGGUGACAACUACAAGAAGAAAAAGAAAUAGGGAAGAAGGUAAACAGUGAGAAGGACUGACACAAGCUGAGAUGAGGAAAUAUGACCUCCUACACGUGUUUUCCAUGAGGAAUAUGUUUGCUGUGCAGUCACUGAGUUAAAAGCAAGCUUCAUUCCCUUGUGCACCAAGGUAGUGCCUCUCCAGAGCUGUAGAUGUCUUCCCAGGAUAUUCCAUGGUUCUACACAGCACUUAAUUCUUGGAACUCACAGUCCAAGACUGUUAUCAGUCCAUUUUCACACUGUUGAUCAAGACAUACCCAAGCCUGGGUAAUUUAUAAAGAAAAUUAAUGGACUCACAGUUUCACGUUGCUGGGGAGGCCUCACAGUCCAAGCAGUCACAGUCUUACAUGGCAGCAAGCAAGAGCGAAUGAGAACCAAGCAAAAGGGAAACUCAUUAUAAAACGUCAACUAUCAUGAGACUUCUUCACUACCACAAGAACAGUAUGGGGUAAACCUCCCCUAUGAUUCAAUUAUCUCCCACCAGGUUCCUCCCAGA
rnacentral:lncRNA from 1 species